rnacentral:rRNA from 1 species
AGCGGCGGACGGGUGAGUUAACGGGGGUAACCUGCCCUGUACACACGGAUAACAUACCGAAAGGUAUGCUAAUACGAGAUAAUAUGCUUUUAUCGCAUGGUAGAAGUAUCAAAGCUCCGGCGGUACAGGAUGGACCCGCGUCUGAUUAGCUAGUUGGUAAGGUAACGGCUUACCAAGGCGACGAUCAGUAGCCGACCUGAGAGGGUGAUCGGCCACAUUGGAACUGAGACACGGUCCAAACUCCUACGGGAGGCAGCAGUGGGGAAUAUUGCACAAUGGGCGAAAGCCUGAUGCAGCAACGCCGCGUGAGCGAUGAAGGCCUUCGGGUCGUAAAGCUCUGCCCUCAAGGAAGAUAAUGACGGUACUUGAGGAGGAAGCCCCGGCUAACUACGUGCCAGCAGCCGCGGUAAUACGUAGGGGGCUAGCGUUAUCCGGAAUUACUGGGCGUAAAGGGUGCGUAGGUGGUUUCUUAAGUCAGAGGUGAAAGGCUACGGCUCAACCGUAGUAAGCUCUUGAAACUGGGAGACUUGAGUGCAGGAGAGGAAAGUGGAAUUCCUAGUGUAGCGGUGAAAUGCGUAGAUAUUAGGAGGAACACCAGUAGCGAAGGCGGCUUUCUGGACUGUAACUGACACUGAGGCACGAAAGCGUGGGGAGCAAACAGGAUUAGAUACCCUGGUAGUCCACGCCGUAAACGAUGAGUACUAGGUGU